UACGGAGGGUGCGAGCGUUGUCCGGAAUCAUUGGGCGUAAAGGGCGCGUAGGCGGCAAUUCAAGUCAGCUGUGAAAUCUCCGGGCUUAACUCGGAACGGUCAGCUGAUACUGCUUUGCUAGAGUGCAGAAGGGGCAAUCGGAAUUCUUGGUGUAGCGGUGAAAUGCGUAGAUAUCAAGAGGAACACCUGUGGUGUAGACAGCUUACUGGACCACGACUGACGCUGAGACACGAAAGCGUGGGUAGCAAACAGG
rnacentral:rRNA from 1 species